rnacentral:rRNA from 1 species
CUAGCGGCAGACGGGUGAGUAACAUGUGGGAAUCUGCCUUUUGGUUCGGAACAACACGGGGAAACCUGUGCUAAUACCGGAUAAGUCUUUACGGAGAAAGCUUUAUGCACCAUUGGAUGAGCCCGCAUUUGAUUAGCUAGUUGGUAAGGUAAAAGCUUACCAAGGCGACAAUCAAUAGCUGAUUUGAGAGGAUGAUCAGCCACACUGGGACUGAGAUACGGCCCAGACUCC